rnacentral:rRNA from 1 species
GACGAACGCUGGCGGCAUGCCUAAUACAUGCAAGUCGAGCGAACAGAUGAAGUGCUUGCACUUCUGACGUUAGCGGCGAACGGGUGAGUAACACGUAAGGAAUCUACCUAUAAGCGGGGGAUAACGUUCGGAAACGGGUGCUAAUACCGCAUAAUAUCUUCUUCCGCAUGGGAGAAGAUUGAAAGACGGCUCUGCUGUCACUUAUAGAUGACCUUGCGGUGCAUUAGUUAGUUGGUGGGGUAACGGCCUACCAAGACGAUGAUGCAUAGCCGACCUGAGAGGGUGAUCGGCCACAUUGGGACUGAGACACGGCCCAAACUCCUACGGGAGGCAGCAGUAGGGAAUCUUCCGCAAUGGGCGAAAGCCUGACGGAGCAAUGCCGCGUGAGUGAAGAAGGCCUUCGGGUCGUAAAACUCUGUUAUAAGAGAAGAACAAAUUGUAGAGUAACUGCUACAGUCUUGACGGUAUCUUGUCAGAAAGCCACGGCUAACUACGUGCCAGCCGCCGCAGUAA